CCUGAGGAGGACCCAAGUCUGGUUAAGCUGGGAGGAGUACCCAAUGCCACCACCUCUAUCCCCAGCCUUCCCUGACUACCCCCGUGGCACCUCUUAGUUAACUGCACCGGGGUUUAUGCCCAGAGGGCUUCCCGGCACCUGUUUUCGGUACUCUCAUCAGGGACCAAUGGGGCUUAAAAAGGGUCAAAAGAAGGGAAGAGCAGCUUCCAAGGAUCACCACUUUGGGGAGGUUUCUGGACUGGACUGUUUUGGAGACUUCCAGUGGCCCCUGUUGUUCGUGUGGAUCAAGAGAGGGUGGUGGGAACUCUCCCCUUCCUCAUUCCCUGAGGCAGAGUCAAGGGAAACCACCCAUCCACCCAACUGGACCGGCUUCCCCAUUCAACUUUUGGGCUGUGGGGAAUCUAUGGCUCUCUGGGAGCUGCUUCCAGCCCAAUGGCACUGGACAGAGGUCUAGGGAUGGGGCACAGCUUCUCCAGGGAGUUUGAGGGCCCUGUGCUGACAGUUCAUCACUAAUCACUUGCCAAUUCCCCAGGAAGAACGUGUCAGCGGGUGGGGUUUCUGCCAGAGUCCGAAGCAAGCGGGCAGCAGGAGAAGCAGUGGGGCUUGGGGAGGUAAGAGCCUCCCGCACCAGGCCACGACAUACCUGGGAGACAGAGUCACCCUAUGGUCUCAUCAACAUCCAGUGGGCAUUUCAGUGGCCCAGGAUCCUUCAAAUUGCAGAUAUAAAGCAUCAGGACCCCACACCUGGGAUGGAAGCUUCUAGGAAAUCAUGAAGCUCCAGUAGAGGUGAGGGUAAACCUGAAAUGGGCUGGAUAGGGCCUCUCCCAAGGCCCUAUGGAAAGGUGAUGGAAAACUGGGGGCUGAGGCCUCAUCCUAGGAGACCCCCAGAGGGACCCACUUACCCUAGAUAGGCAGCGGAGGCCAGAAACUGGAAAACAGCCACUCAUUGUUGGUGCAUUACGUGGGCACCACCUGUAGGAACUCUGUUGGCCUCCAGCCGUCGUCAAACGUUCCUGACAACCACAAAAGUUCAUUUGAGGGUGCCCAGUCAGCUGCCUUUGCUUCCACAAAGAAUACCCAUCUGGCCCUGGUCCUUCUGCUGAGCCACAGGAGGCACUCCCACGGUCUUAGCAAAAACAACCCCUCAAAUAGGCCCAGCACCUACAACUCUAGAGAGGUUUCAGAUGGUAUCAGAGACCCAGAGAAGUUAACUGACUUUCCAAAAAGUCACCCAUUGUAAAUGGCAGACCGAUCUCAAACCCACAUCUGAGCCUGAGUCCAGUGCUUUUUCUCUAGUAUCAUCAUUGUCCCUUAAAUGUGUUUGACACAUCAUAGUUUACAAACUACCUUUACUCAUAUUCUCUCACUACUCAUUAAUCAUAAAUUCAGCCAAUGAGAAGGGCUCAGAGAGGUUAACUAACCAGCCACACUGUCUACAGGGGGCAUAGACUGCUUUGUGAACGCUUGACCGCAGCUUUGCCUUCUUUGUGCCCUCAAAAAGGAAGAUGACCAAAGCUUACUAUACCAUAGCUGGGGUCUGGGACCCCCAGUCAGGUCUCACAGGUGAUCUGGGAAUGGCCUCCCUGGUGCUCUCAGGGGUCCAGUAGUCAGACAGGAGAGUCAGGUUGAAAUCU